rnacentral:lncRNA from 1 species
AGCAAUAGAAAUUUUAGGAAUAUAUGAUUAAAUAAUUUUGGGAUAUUCAACAGAGAUGAAAUAGCAAAACAAAACUAUAUAGCUAAGCAAAUUUUACUAGUUAAACUACCAUAAAAAGUAACCUUAUCAUGAAAGGUGACGUGUGAUCAUAUUUACGUCUCUUAUCCUAAAAUAUAAUUCCCAUAAGUCGUAAUGGCCAAAGGAAUAUUGUAGUUUCUUUCUUAAUUAUCCAUUCAUUUUGUCUUUCUGCGAUUCGGUGAACCUUUAACCGAAGAGUAAUGAUAUAAUUAUAAACUCUUGUACAAACUUAUUUUGUAAAAAUUGAUGUGGCAUUAAUUUAUUGGUUGAAUUAAAUAUCUCUUGGUCCACAUGAUUUAUUUAUAUUAUUUUAUAUUUUUAUUCAACCAAUAAAUUAAUGCCACAUCAGUUUGUACAAGAGUUUGUGGCUGUAUCAUCACUCUUAACCGAAACUGGACCUGAUGAAUAUUUACUAGUCAAAAAGAAAAGGAAAAGGAAAGAUAAAUGCUUCAUUCAAAGCCAAGUUACUAGGGAUACGGAUUCCUGUAUAUAUUAGGGAUACGAAUUCACUGAAAGUAGUGUUUUAAAGAAUGUAGUAGGAUUUUUGUAUUAGGACUGCGAAAUCUUAAUCAUUCUCAACAUAACGAGUCCUACUAAUAACUAUUAGGGGAAUAAGGAUCAUUCUCUCUAUUAUAUAUUAUGUAAUAACAAUCAUUAGAUGAAACGUCAAAUAUCACAUCAUUAAUUAAUUUAUAAUUUAUGUUUAUUAAUUAAGCCAAUGCCAUUGCAGUUCUUUUUACCCUAGUUUUUGUUUGAGCAAUUGAUUAUUAUUAUUAUUAUUAUUAUUUUGGUUACAGUACGGAGCAAAUUCCCACGGUGGCAAUUGGGCAAUCUAUUUCAUCAUAUAAUGAUGAUGUUCAUACUUUUAUAUUUAUCCAUGUAACAUGUUCGCACUCACCCUGAUCAUAAUUAAUAGGAACUAAUACACUUUCAACUUGAUAAUUAUUGUAGGGAAGCGUUUGUUCAUAAUAAUAUGCACCUGUUCACUGGCUUAACAAGAAAUGUGUCAUCUAAUUGUAAUGGAGGGCAAUGAGGAUAAAAGUUGAACGUGAGUCACACACAUUAAUUAAUUGGGUUUUCUGGGCUCUUCGUUUCCUUUUAUCUUUUAAAAUUUUCUCUUAAGAAAUUAAAUAUAAAGUUUUUGAGAAUGACAAGGAAAGCAUUGCAUAUAUAAUCAAAGUUCAUGAAACAUGCCCGGAUGCCUAAUCAUAACUUUUUGAACUCUCGUAAGUUUUGCCAUCAGUUAUUUAUUGGACUAACCUCAAAACCGGAUUUGAGAUGAUUAUAAAAUAAUAUGUUUAUUCUUUAUGCUGAUUAAAAUUAAAUAAUCAGUUGACAAAAAAAAAUAUAAAAAAUAAAUUAAAUGUUUGGUAAACUGUUCAAGCUACUGAAAGUAUUAAAAUUUUCAUAAGCAGGGUAGUAAUUCUUUGGUAGUUCUUAAGCAAUAAACAGAAGGGGCACAUUAAAUUUUUGAGUGAAUCCAUGGAUUCAUUGAUGUCAAUGAGACUGCACAUAAAAGGAUCCAAAAUUUCUAUUGGCACCACUUAAAUGCUAUCUAUGAUGAUUCCUUUUUCUUCCUCAACUAUCUUAAUUAUGAUUCCUUUUUCUUCCUCAACUAUCUUAAUUAUCUAGAAGGUCAGCUCUUAUCAAUGAUGAUUCCUUUUUCUUAAAUAUUAUAAUUUUUCCUUUCAACCUUACGAAAUUAAUGGGUUCAAAGAAGAAUAAACGGGUAGCAGUUAUUUUAUUUUGACCGAGUGUUCUUCCUGUUGUAUGUAACAGGUAGCUGAUCGCGGGAUAAAAAGCCAACAAUGACCCCUUGAUUGUGAUCUGAAAAUCACAAAGUAUUUAUCUCAAAUAAACAAUCCUUCAGCCAUACAACAAAUUUAGGACAUUUAAAAGCAAGCUUUGCCAAGUUUUGCUGCCAUUUUGUCUCUAACUAGAAGUGAUUCUGCUAUAUUGCUUUUAUAUUUAGUUUUCAGAUUUUCAAUAUGGGAUGCCUAUUAAGAAAAAUAAGAAGCGGAAGGUUAUCUAAUUUUAGUUGAUUGGAGGGGAAAGGAAUUGAUUGUUUAAGUAUUCUUUAAUUCCUUAAUGCUGUUGGCCUUCUCAUCUUUUUGUCUAAAGAAAAUUAACAAAAUUAAAAUAUUUACAGUGUGUUUUACUGUUAGGUAACAAUAUAUAUAUUCUAGUCACUUAUUCAUAUUAAAGGAUUUUCAACAUCCCACCAAGGGUUUUCUGUGGAUUCCACAUAAGCAGAUUUUGAAUCCAAAUGCACACAUGCAUGUAUCAUAUUAUAACAUGUAAUAUUUAAUAUUAUUUCAAUGGAUAUGGUAUAGGCAUUAGGCAGCACUAUGUUUUACUUACAGCACAAACCUAAUUGUUCUUUAUAUAAGAACAAAUUAAAAUUAAACUUACACUAGAUAUUAGUGUGAGAGGUCAUUCGAUCCUCAUAUUGAUCUAAAAGUACCUCUUAUGAACCGUUAACUAUAAAUUCUAAAUUUUUUGUUUUUUAUGUUUCACUGUAAAGAAGCCUUGCAAAAGAAACUAAAAUUGAUUUGUCACCAUAAAUGAACGGAACUAUUUCAGAAAAUUGGGGUUUUAAUUUGAUAAAUGGUUAUCAAUGGCGUGCAGUAUGAUGACAUUUGAAAGGAGACGUCACCCGACGACGGGUCCUGAUGCUGAACAGAAGCUCACCCACUACUUGAUAAUGCUGUUUAAUUAGUCCAAACACAUGAUCAACACAAUAUAUGAACUAAUGAUCAAGAAAUGCUUCUCUUUACUCACGGGCUGUGCUUUUAUAAUAGCGAGCUGCCUUGGCUCCUGUUUCCGAAUCAAUGCGAUGAGAAAAUAUCAUGUACCAUGCAGGGUGUUGUACAAUCAAUUACUCGUAGGGUUGGUAAAAGGUUGGGUCGGGUUCGGGCUUUGUCAAGCCCUACCCUACCCAGAGGCGGAUGUAGUGUAGGACUAGUGGGGCUCAAGCCCCCAUUGAAAAAAAAAAAACUCAUUUUUGUU